rfam:Triticum aestivum genome assembly, contig: Triticum_aestivum_CS42_TGACv1_scaffold_605536_7DL
UCAUUACUCCCUCCGUCCGAAAAAACUUGUCACUCAAAUGGAUGUAUUUAGCACCAAGUUAGUGCUAGAUACAUCCAUUUGAGAGACAAGCUUUUUUGCUCGGAGGGAGUACUAA